AUUUCACAGCCUGCCCAGAAAACAGCCCCGCUAGAGCUAAAGCAGGGAAGCAGCCGCGUGGGGCCGGGAGCUCCCUGCCGAGGACCUGAUCAGUGCAGCUCCCGGGCUGCGUGUUGCCUCCGAAGGCGAACGCUGGCGGCGAGGGGGAUCAAGCAUGACGCACCGCUUCUGUCCACACUGCAACAGCCAAUCUGCAGCAGAUUAAGGAGAGCAAACAGCGUCGGGACUCUGCCCCGAGGCAGUCGGUGCACGCGGCUCGGGGGGCAGCAUCUGGGCUGGCCGCAAAGUCUGACAUCCCGCUAUGAGGAGGGCAAGGGGGGUCUUGGCAGCUUACCAGCGCAAGCCGGAGCAGCACAGCCUGCCUGCCGCUGCCGACACACCUCUCCUGCCCCUAAGGAAACCCUCGCCCGUGGAGCCAAACUCUCACGGCUUGUGACCCCCCUCAAAGGGAAGAUGAGAGUCCACGCUUGGAAAGCACGUCCCUGGAGGAAGCCGGAGCUCCUCAGGGGAGCAGGGGACAUCGUGGCUGAUCUCCUCCGAGAAGGAGGACUGUCAUGGUGGAGAGCAGAGGUGCUAUGGCUGGGGAACAUGGCCCCAGGCCACCUGCUCUGCACUGACCAUAUCUGCUGUAAGGGUCAUAACAAGGAAACGAAGCUGAGAAGUUUCUCCUCAUGCUCCAUCGCCUGUUUUGCAAAUUCCCACUCAAGUGGGCACGGAGGAACAGGUCCUCAUGCCAUGCCGGGAUCGCUCCCUGGGCCUGUCUUGUGAGUCUGCUGCUGUGUCGGCUCUGCCAAGUGUGAGUGCGGCCGAGAUCACCCGGGUUUUAUUCCUACAGUCUUAGCUUGCAUUCACUUAGCAGCCUCUGAGGGCAGAUUUGCCCUCCUGCCAGGACCACGUGGCGCUAAACACAGAGCAUUAUUUAGAAUCUAAGGUGCAAAUAAUAAUUCCUUUACUCCAGUUAUUGUAACUGCUGGAGAAUACUUCCCAGGCAUGGAGGCAAUACAAUUGCAUUGACUUCCAUCAAGGUGGUGGGUUGGCUCAUUUUAUGUAAACCAGUUAAGACGGAGCCUCAAGAUCUGGUGUUAGUUUUGCAUCACUGGGUGCUGCUUGUUUAUAAUCAGGGUCCUGGCCUGGCUCUCCUUAUGUGAGGGAUUUUUCAUUUUAAAUUUGGUUUUAACUUUCUGGUGGAGGGUGAUAGGACAGAGCAGACGUUUCAGUGUCUUGAGCAGCCUUUCAGAAAUUGCAAGGCCACUAACUUUGCUGCUUGAAUCCAUUUGGACAAGGUGAAAGGUAGCACAAAGAAUUAUUGGUAGCAUUCUUGAUAAUAUGAAUACGUGUCUUCAAGCAAGUUUUUGUAGUCAGAAUAAUCUUACAUGAGUAGGUCAAACUUGAACAGCAAGAGCCAUCAGUUUUCCCUGACCUAGCGCGGUGCACAAGUGCCGUUCUGCCAAGGAAAGAGCGGGGGGACGAGGUGCAGAAGACACUAGUGUCCGUUCAGGGCAGCGCCACCGUACAGAGGUGAUGUUAUCCCCAGGCACUGAUUUCAUCGGGCAUAAAAGCAAAAUGACGUCUAACUCCCAGGUGUAACUACCUAUAGCCUCUCUGCACGGCUCUGACUCCUCAAUGCACCGUUUCCUUCUGGGGCUGCAUGAGGGGUCGUGCUCCUUGGGGGGUUUGGGGGAG
ensembl:lncRNA